UUUAAAUCAAAGCCCCAUGUCAUUUUCCUUGAUGUAGGUAUGACUGCUGAACUUUCCAAGAGUGAUCGAGUAAAUUUAAUUGAGUUUUUUAAGGCUGUAGCCCUUCGAGAUGGCCGCACUGCAGCAGAGUGCACACUGAGAUUAUCAAAGCAACAGAAUUGCCCAAAUCCAAAAGCUUUUAUUGAGGAAGUGGAAGAGGCAUUCACCUUUUGGGGUACUCCUGAGGGUGAUCUUAUUCAUCCUGCNNNNNNNNNNNNNACUUGAGAAAGUCAGGCAUCAUAAAGUCAACAUUGAUGGCAAUGUUUGCACCGUGAUGGUCACAACUUUAGUUCUUGAGGGCUGGCAGCGGAAGCUGGAUCCUGGAUACAAUGUAAUGCACACAUUACAAACACUGCUUCUCCGAGCUGACUGGGCGAAGUCUCUUUCGUACACAAUUGAUGGGCUGAUGGCACCAUGAGAAGGUUAUUUUCUGUGCUGUUCCUAUGAAACAAUUUUGACAGUGAUGAGACUCAAAAUUACCCGUUCUAAGAAAUAACAAGAGCUUUUGUCACCAUUGAAAUGUUUGAGCAUUUUUAUUUUCGUUGCAAAAUUUUGUCCCUGUAUUUUUUUUUNUUAUUAUUGUUGAUUUUCCGUAUAGGAUUACACUUACAUCUUAGCCUGUCAACUUGAACGCAAAAAUGUGAGAAGCAAGAAUUUUAUCAUAAUUUCUCUG
rnacentral:misc_RNA from 1 species